rnacentral:misc_RNA from 1 species
GUAGGUGAACCUGCGGAAGGAUCAUUAACACGUUACACACGUAUAUAUAAUAUACACCAACCGUGAACCCUGCAAAUUGAAGAACAUGGCUAGCCCUAUUAGGGCUGCAAAAACUCUUAGAAGUCUGCUGCCGCCUCGUAUAUGUCCCUCCCUUCCUCCUGUUGGGAGCUUUGGAACUACUUGGUGGUUGUCUGAGGGGGUUAGCCAUGCGUGUUGUCGUUAUUAUUAACGACUUGUAUUCAACAACUCUGAAUUUAUUUUCGAAACUUUAAAAGGAAAAGACCCCUUUUUAAUUAGGGGGGUGGAUUUCUUUUAAUAACAAAACUCAGAACAACUCUUAGCAACGGAUAUCUUGGUUCCC